GGCCCGUUGGUCUAGCGGCUUAGGACGCCGCCCUCUCACGGCGGAAACCAGGGGUUCGAAUCCCCUACGGGCUA
rnacentral:tRNA from 1 species